GCUUAGCUCAUGAAAGAAUUACAAUCCUAAGAAUUGAUGCGGGUUUUUUACCUAUAUAUUAUAAAAUAAAAUAAAAAUUACUAAAAUGACAUGUUUAAAAAAUUAUGUACCAAAAUGAUACAUUCAAACAGGUGGAGGGUGGUGCAUAGGCGACACCACCCUAGAAUGCUGACAAAAUUUGACUGAAAACAAAAAUAAAAAUAAAAAACUG
rnacentral:lncRNA from 1 species